rnacentral:ncRNA from 1 species
UCAAAAUCAAAGAUGGAGCCAAAUAUCAAUCAAUGAACUCUCAGAGAGCCGGAGGUUGCUGCAAUUCGGUAGUUCAAUUGAUAUGGAGCACUCCGGAGUGACUUGUUGAAAGACAAGUGAGUAGACAAGUCCGGUUAUGUACCGUUACAACUUGAUCCCAAUAAGGAUCACUGAGGCAACCAAAGAGAGUAUGGUUGUGAAUUAGGGUGGCACCACGAGCUUCUCGUCCCUACU